rnacentral:rRNA from 1 species
GUUAGUAAAGAGGUUAGAAAAUUAGAGUGUUAUUAGGAAGUUCUUAGUUUUUUGUAGAGGUGGAAUUCGAAUAAGAAAAUUUAGGUUAUUAACUUCUUUGAUUUGAGGCCUUGAAAAUUUAAUUUAAGACCGGGAUUAGAUACCCCGUUAUUUAUUUUGUAAACUUUAAUGUUUGUAAUUUACUUGAGUAUUACGAGUAGCUAAUAUAAUAAGUGGUUUAGUUAGUAUAGACUUAAAACUCAAAAAACUUGGCGGUGCCUUAAUUCUUUUCAGGGGAACUUGUCCCGUAAUCGAUGGUCCUCGAUUUAGCUUACUUUUUUUUGUAUUUUAUUUUGGUUUUAUGACAGUUUGUAUACCGUCGUCGUCAGAUUACCUUUAAGAGAGAUAGAAGUUGUCGGAAAAAAUAGGUAUAAAGAUUGAUAGUAUAAUGGUUAGAUUUUUUAACUAUCAGGAAGAAUAUAUAUUUUUAAUGUCAGAUCGAGGUGCAGCUUAUGAAAAAGUGGAGAUGAGUUACAAUGAAUAUUUAUUAAACGGAUUUUAAGUUGUAAGACUUAAUUAAAGGCGGACUUGAGAGUAAUAUUAGUAAAGGAGAUAGAAAUCUUAACUAGUGUGUAAAUGUGAAUAUGGUGCUAAGGUGCGU